rnacentral:rRNA from 1 species
UACAGAGGGUGCGAGCGUUAUCCGGAUUCACUGGGUUUAAAGGGUGCGUAGGCGGGUAAGUAAGUCCGUGGUGAAAUCUCUGAGCUUAACUCAGAAACUGCCGUGGAUACUAUUUGCCUUGAAUAUUGUGGAGGUGAGCGGAAUAUGUCAUGUAGCGGUGAAAUGCUUAGAUAUGACAUAGAACACCAAUUGCGAAGGCAGCUCACUACACAAUCAUUGACGCUGAGGCACGAAAGCGUGGGGAUCAAACAG